UCGGGAGUAGGACAGUUUGGUAACACUAUGGGUUCCUGAUCGAGUACAUGACCUAAUUUUUUUGAGGUCAGAAUAAUUUUGAGGUUUCUGAGCUAAUCUUUGUAAUUAGUUCUGAUCAAAUGAUUGAUUUCAAAGGUGCGAGCAAGAGGAUUUGAGGCUGACAUUAUUUAACUGUGAGAGUAGAGAUUCAAGUUAGAUUUUUAUACUUUAAUGUUAUGUUUGCUUCUAGGGACUUUAAGAUGCAAAUAAUGACUCCCACUAAUUUUUCAGAUCCCUUCACUCUUCGAGUGAAAAAUAAAAAUCUUAACACGAUAAAAGAUUCCUAGUGGGUGCUGUGAUCCCACCGAUGCCAUGUCCUCACCUAACAAUUAUUGGUAACAUGCAUACCAAUGCAUAGGCAACUCUUUGCCUAGAUGCUUCUCUAAGUAUAUUACAGUGACUUGAUCUCUAAGUCAUAUAUGCUUACCUAACAGUUAUUGAUUACACUCCUUAGUUAAGCUCAACCCACCAUUCACAAGC
rnacentral:lncRNA from 1 species